AAUAAGCGCAAUUGUAGGUUUCGGUGCCCAACUUUAACCAUUCGUCUUAUUUGAAAUAUUUUUAUGAUUAGUAUUUUUAUUGUUAUUAGAUAAUAAUAUAUGAAUAGUACUUUAUGCAUGACUUAACUUUUAAAAUUUUUUCAUAAAUUUUUCAAAUAAAACGGAAUAAAACGGAUGGUUAAACGUUGGAUACGAAAACUUAUGGCUGCACUUAUA
rfam:Oryza glumipatula chromosome 5, whole genome shotgun sequence.